rnacentral:rRNA from 1 species
GGUACCGUCAAUGCAAUCUGCUAUUUACAAACUACAACUUCUUCCCACUUGACAGAGCUUUACGACCCGAAGGCCUUCUUCACUCACGCGGCGUUGCUGCGUCAGGCUUUUCGCCCAUUGCGCAAAAUUCCUC